UACAGAGGUCUCAAGCGUUGCUCGGAAUUAUUGGGCGUAAAGGGUAGGUAGGUGGUCUCAUUUGUCAGGGGUGAAAGCCUUGGGCUUAACUCAAGAAGUGCCCCUGAAACGGUGAGACUGGAGUCCUGGAGAGGGUCGUGGAAUUCCCGGUGUAGCGGUGAAAUGCGUAGAGAUCGGGAGGAACACCAGAGGCGAAGGCGGCGACCUGGACAGGUACUGACACUCAACUACGAAAGCGUGGGGAGCAAACAGG
rnacentral:rRNA from 1 species